rnacentral:lncRNA from 1 species
AUCCCCUGUGGGCCUCUGGAGUGCUGUCCCGGGUCCUGGUCUGCACAUUCUCCUGAGGCACUUCGCAGCCCUUCCUGGGAAUCAUCCAAAAUGAGGUGAUUCCAGCCAGUUUAAGAGGCUGGAGCAGCAAGGCACUGAAGAAGCGAGUCAUAUCCCAUCAUAUGCCCUGCGAGGAGGACAAGGAAACUUCCCAUUACAACUGGGGAUCGUCUGGGAUCGCAGAAGAAUGUGCAACCAGUUCUCUUCACCAUCCCCAGCUUAUACUCCUCUAAAGUGUAUCCUGAACAAUUGGGACUGCUUUGAUCCUCAGAAUCUGGAGGAAAAUGGCCUCAUAGCCCUCUGCACAAAGGUUUGGCCAAAUUAUGAUUUACAGGAAGGACUGGCUUGGGCUCAGGAAGGAACCAUUCACUACAAUGGCAUUCAACAAUUAGAACUCUUCUGUAGAUGUGAGGAUAGACAGUUCUGAGGCCGAUAUGUACAGGUUUCUAUACCUUGCAAGGCAAUACAGACCUUUGCCAACAAUGUAGGAUUGAUCUAGCCCUCCUGUUUGCCAUCUCAGGAAAGGCUGAAAGGGGCAAGCCCAGGGAAUUAAUUAAAGAUACUAGUCCCAGAGGCACUCCCAGCAGAGGAGCCAGCUCCCUCAAGCCCUGCUCCUCCGGGUCCACCCCAACCUCCCUAUCCAGCCUCAGCCUCUCACUUGCCCCCUCAUAGAAAUCCCAAAUUAUGAUUUACAGGAAGGACUGGCUUGGCCUCAGGAAGGAACCAUUCAUUACAAUACCAUCCAGCAAUUGAAACAUUUCUAUAGAUGUGAGGAUAGACGGUUCUGAGGCCCAUGUGAGCAGGCUGUCUAUACCUUGCAAGGCAAUCCAGGCCUUUGGCCAACAAUAUAGGAUUGAUCCAGACCUCCUGCUUGCCAUCUCAGGAAAGGCUGCAAGGGGCAAGCCCAGGCAAUUAAAGAUACAAGUCCCAGAGGCACUCCCAGCAAAGGAGCCAGCUCCCUCAAGUCCUGCUCCUCUGGGUCCACCCCGACCUCCCUAUCCAGCUUCAGCCUCUCACUUGCCCCCUCCAAGAAAUCCUCACCCUAAACAAGCCCCAGUCUCACUCUUGCCCCUACAACAGAUGCCCAGUGAAUUUAGGCCCAGUGAUGUCCAGGUCCCCUUCUCCCUACAGGACUUAAAGCAAAUUAAGGGGGAUCUUGGCAAGUUUUCAGGUGACUCUGAUAGAUAUACAGAGGCUUUAAUGGCCACCAUGCAAGCCCACAAACCCCAGAAUUCCAGGGGGCACCUGUUGACUGCUAAAGAUAUGGCAAGAACAGAUAUCUCUCUUCUAAAGUUUAUCUGCUCCAACACAAGGUUUAAUUUCCUUCACCAGGGUGAAACAGCCUGGGGCACAAUGUUGUUGUUAUCUCUGUAAUCUUUGGCACUAAAUUCUUUCCUUGUAUAAUACACAUGUUGAACCCACGCAUACUUAACCUUAUGAAACUUUUUCUUCCUCUCACUCCUAGAAUCCAUUGGCUCCCUUUGCUUGGAACCCUUAGAUAGACCUCUGGGAGGAAUCUGACUGCCGUUCUCCCCAAAAACAAAUGCCCCCUGUCUGUGGGAAGCACUUAGGACUAAUCAUCAUCCGUAUUCUAAUGGCAAUUAGGUGUACCUCUUCAGAGGGUAGAAAUGAUCCAGAAGGGAACUGCUGGAAAUGGAAGAGCAUGGUCCCUUUAAAUGAUAUCGAAGUGGGGGAAGAGAAGUGCUGGGUAGAAAAGGGCAUGGUCUGUGGCUAGAGUUCCAUCCCCGGACCUGUGCCUAUGGAUCUAAGUGUGGACAGGAAUUUUUGUUUUCCUGCCCUAUGGUUGCAUUACCCAAGACCAACCUGGCCUACCAUGCCCCUAUCCUGUGUCUAUAAAAACCCCUGAGACCCUAGCUACUUCCACUCAAUAAAACCUGGCACUCAUUCUCCAAGACCCUAGCAGAUAGACACACAGGUGCUGGACAUAAGGAAGAGCACCACCAGUGAAGAAAGACAUGCACACGGGUAUCGGGACAUUGAGAGGCGCACACCGACAGGCACCAGCGUGCUGGCAGGCCACCAACCAGCGGAACAAUGCGGAGUUUGGCUGGGGCAGUUGGAGGAGAGCUAGGGCCACCAACUGGCCCAACUCCAGGGAAAAAUCAUCUCCCUUCUGGCUCCCCCAUCUGCUGAGAGCUACUUCCACUUAAUAAAACCUUGCACUCCUUCUCCAAGCC